rnacentral:ncRNA from 1 species
UCGUCCUGCCUCGUGAUCGUCUUCUCACCGUUCACCGGCAGGCGGAAUGACGGAGCGCCCCCGUACGUCGGAUACGUACGGGGGCGCUCC